rnacentral:lncRNA from 1 species
CAUUGGGGUAGCCUAGAAAAGGAGCAGAAAUAGUUUUGCAACGAAGGCAGGCUCAAAGAAUGAAUGUCUCAGCAGUGAUCUCUCCACUGCUCUGGCAGCAGCACUAGGAAACUAAGGAUCACAAUGCAGAGAACAAGGAUGUUAAUUCUGCCUAAAUAACAGACCACGUUUCCUCUACCCGGCUGUUCUGGGGAGCUAAUUACACAGACUCCCAAAUCAAAGAAAUAUAAAACAGUCUGCAAAUGACUGCAAUGUUGAUGUGUUGGCAGUCCAAACCAUGACAUAUGGUCCUUCAGUUUGCCAUCCUAGAGAACAAGCUCACGAGCAACCCUUGUUACGCAAAAUUAUGUCAUAAAUAACAGAAAGAGGCUGACUUUAGAAAUGAGCUUGAGGUGACCUCCCACCUUAGCCCCACGAGAGACAGAGCUGCUGCCAGCCUGGUCAUAGGUCCCCAAAUGUACCUCCCUUGAGGGGGAAGGAAGGUGAAUCAUAUCCAGGCAGGAUCCUGGCUCAGUCAAUACCCACACACAAACGUUGCACUCAGGUCACAAAGCCCAAGAUUUCGGCACCAACACCGGCUGGACAUGUGUGUCCCACCAGCCCUGCUCCAAGACCGCUCCGCAGCCGUGUGCCAGUCCCUGAGGCACUCAUCAGCAGGAUCCGGACCUUGAGGUCAUCACUGGACCCCCAUCACGGACCUCAUGGAGUGAGGGACACCUGCACACAGCAGGGGAGGAGAGGGAUGAGACACCAGCAUGCCAAGGGCUUUCACACGCCCUCACCCACAGCAGCCGGUGCAGGUUCCUCACUCCGGUCCCAGCUGAAGAGAGGUGACACAGCUAUAACUGGACCCUGGCAACGGGAAGACAGAGAGAGCUCCAGAAGGCAGCCAGGGGGCAUGUGCUUGGGGUUUCUGAUUUGGUCUCUCUUUGUCUGGAGGUAAAAGUGAAGUGCCAGGACUCCCAGGAAAACGACAAAGCACGAAGAUGAACUGCAGGGAUUCAGCCAGUGACAAGGUAAUGAAUGAGGUAGGGAGGAAACUCUGCCUGGAAGACUCUUCUGUUCAUCUGCAGCUGGAUGAAUUAUGCCUCCCAAUAACCCACUGACAGCAGGGUGGGCUUGAGAUUUUCUGCAGUGUCCAAUGAAGUACAAGAUUCAGCACUAAUCUGUG